CCGGGCUUCAAAGACUAGCCGGUCAAAAUGCAUUGUCCUAUCAGGCGUUUUGGUUCGUCUUUUGAUUAGCCAGUCCGAGAACAUCAUUGUAUCCAUCAGCUAGUUUCUGGCUAGUCGUCCUAGCUAUUUUGAGGAAGGAGAUGGACGUUUUCACCCUUGGCUUAAAUCCAGAACCGAAGUAUGCCUACUACCGUCCUGCUACAGAGGCAGGAACAUGGCUGUGGGAGUAGCAUGUGAACGGAACGCGUGGAACAUGAUUCUCCUGAGAUCUACAGCUACAGAAACAGGACUGGACUGGAACGUAUGACCCAAUCGUUCCUUGUGUGGAUCUCUCUGAAGUACACAGCCUACGCCGACUUUCAAACGCUCUCCGCUGGUGUGUGUUGCCGGAGACUUGCUCAUUUGGUAUUUGAAUAUCUGGAGACAAACAGCCAAUCAGAUGAAAUGAACCCUAUAAAAUUUACACUCAAUAGGCCUCCAUUGCCAAGCGACCAGCGGCAGUCAGCUCCCAGCCUGGUGAAGGGGCCAGACCACCCAGGCUGGGUUGGAAGGGGCUUUUGGGCCCCCCACGCUCGCCCCUUUCUCCAUUCACACUGGCUUUUGGAGGCUGUUUGCAAUGCGACACAACAGUGGCACAACUCUUUAUUUUCCGUGGGGCCAACACUGUCAAUCUCUGCACAAAGGGCAAAAGCACGGCCUGAAGGACUUCCAAACAAUUUCAAGGAUGGAUUGAGGGUUUGUCAAGUGUUAUUACACAAUAGAAAUGUCCCUUUUGUGUUUAUUUAGCUGAAAAACAAGCAUAACAGAAACCUUUUUUAAGGGACAGUUUAGUUACAUGUCAAUAGUUAUAUAUAUAGUAUGCAUAUUAAUCAUUAGCUAUUUUUUGUUUACUUUUUGUAUUUAUAUAGUAUGUAUUAUA